AGUUCAAACACCACCCUGAAUGUGCCCGAUCUUGUCUGAUCUCAGAAGCUAAGCAGGGUCGGGCCUGGUUAGUAUUUGGAUGGGAGUUAUAACUUUCUAAUUUGGUGUAUGUAGUU
rnacentral:rRNA from 1 species